rnacentral:rRNA from 1 species
CCUACGGGAGGCAGCAGUGAGGAAUAUUGGGCAAUGGACGAGAGCCUGAACCAGCAAAGUAGCGUGAAGGAUGACUGCCCUAGGGGUUGUAAACUUCUUUUAUAUGGGAAUAAAAUGUUCCACGUGUGGGAUUUUGUAUGUACAAUAUGAAUAAGGAUCGGCUAACACCGUGCCAGCAGCCGCGGUAAUACGGAGGAUGCGAGCGUUAUCCGGAUUUAGUGGGUUUAAAGGGAGAGUAGGUGGAUUGUUAAGUCAAUUGUGAAAGUUUGCGGCUCAACCGUAAAAUUGCAGUUGAAACUGGCAGUCUUGAGUACAGUAGAGGUGAGCGGAAUUCGUGGUGUAGCGGUGAAAUGCUUAGAUAUCACGAAGAACUCCGAUUGCGAAGGCAGCUCACUGGACUGCAACUGACACUGAGGCUCGAAAGUGUGGGUAUCAAACAGGAUUAGAUACCCGUGUAGUC